AAACAAACUUUAUACUAAAAAAAUACACACAUAACAUAAAAAUUAACCAAUAGAAGAAAAAAGAGAAGUAUUAAAAAAACAACAAAAAAAAAAACAACCUAGAGGGACGGGGCCUGACACCCAAGAUGGCCAGACAUGUUUUUUUAGUUGCUCCUGCAAGAUAGUGCUAUUUACUGGUUUAUUCCACUGUAAACCCCGAGGGACAAAGCCUAAUUUUACUGUCAUAUACUCACCUCUGCAAACCACACCUUGCAGGUUUGAAC